GGUAACUUAGUCUUAUACUCAUUAUUAAUGGAUCACCAACCUAUUCAUCUAUAUUAAUAUUCAAGAAGAGUUUAUCAUAUCUCCCCGUCACCCCAACCAAACAAUUUUAACUUAAAUAAAAGCUCUUCCCAAGUUUACUUAUAAUUAUGAACUGUCAAACUCUAUAGGGUCUUCUCGUCCUCCAAUUUUAUUUUAGCCUUUUAACUAAAAAGUUAAAUUUUAAUUCAAUCCCCAUGAGACAGUUAACACCUCGUCCAACCAUUCAUACCAGCCCCUAAUUAAGAGACUAAUGAUUAUGCUACCUUUGCACGGUCAAAAUACCGCGGCCCUUCAAUCUUCAGUGGGCAGGCUAGACCUCUUAUACUUCCAAGAAGCGAUGUUUUUGAUAAACAGGCGAGCAUUAAUUUGCCGAAUUCCUUACAAAGACCUUUCUUAGAACACUAUUAUUACAACAUCUUAUAUUAAUUUUAUCAUUAUUACUCAUUCCUUCUUGUUCUGAAUGGCACUUUGAUAUAUAAAUUAAACCUUUCAAAAUUAAACUUCUCUUCAAUAAACUAUAACGUUAUUAUUAGUUGGCUGAUUUCAAGCCUACACUUAUAAGUUCCUAACCUGGUUAUAAACAUAUCGUUAAGCUUAUCCCCCAAAAUAUUAGAAAUAGACACCUAAACCAACUCACAAUUACCAGUUUAGCGCCUUUACCUGAAUUCAAUUCAUUUCUCAAAGAACUAGAAACCUUUAAGUUCGUCUAACAUCUCGUUUCUAAAAUGAUAUCAAUGAUAAAUUUGCAACCUUAACCAUUCUAUCUUUUUAGCUCACCUAAAAUCGAGAAAACAAAAUCCAUCCUUUCACUUAAUAAACCCUGAUACACAAGGUACAACAUUUAAUCUACUUUUUACCAACUCCUUUUUCACUUCUUUCAACUUUCCUUCUCAGUACUCCCUUUAUUAUUCACUCUAUAAUUUCUCUACCCAAUACUCAUCCUUUUAUAUUUAUAUUGAUUCACCUACUCAACUCCAAUAACUCACCUUCUUAAUUAGUGCACUUUUCAAAAUAAAUUGAAUUGCACAACAACUUUUCAAUGUAAAUGAAAUGCUUUACUCAACAAGCUCUA
rnacentral:rRNA from 1 species